AUCUGGCUCAGGGUCGGUUGACAUCCAUCAAGCAGCUUGCUGUUUGCAUUGGGCUGCCGCUGUGCUCGUUUGCACUGCGCAGCUCCAAGGUAUGCCGUACGGAGUUCACAGACUCGACUCUUGGGAACUUGUGUCCUGGGUCGCCGACGUGGCCGUGUGUGCAUGGCGCAGGGAUCUGACUGACUGUCCCAUAGGCGCCAACCUACUUUAACUU
rnacentral:misc_RNA from 1 species